UAGGGAAUCUUCGGCAGUGGGGGCAACCCUGACCGAGCAACGCCGCGUGAGUGAAGAAGGUUUUCGGAUCGUAAAGCUCUGUUGUAAGUCAAGAACGGGUGUGAGAGUGGAAAGUUCACACUGUGACGGUAGCUUACCAGAAAGGGACGGCUAACUACGUGCCAGCAGCCGCGGUAAUACGUAGGUCCCGAGCGUUGUCCGGAUUUAUUGGGCGUAAAGCGAGCGCAGGCGGUUUGAUAAGUCUGAAGUUAAAGGCUGUGGCUCAACCAUAGUUCGCUUUG
rnacentral:rRNA from 1 species